rnacentral:rRNA from 1 species
UACGUAGGGGGCAAGCGUUGUCCGGAAUCAUUGGGCGUAAAACGCGUGUAGGCGGCCCGGUAAGUCCGCUGUGAAAGUCGGGGGCUCAACCCUCGAAUGCCGGUGGAUACUGUCGGGCUAGAGUGCGGAAGAGGCGAGUGGAAUUCCUGGUGUAGCGGUGAAAUGCGCAGAUAUCAGGAGAAACACCAAUUGCGAAGGCAGCUCGCUGGGACGUUACUGACGCUGAGACGCGAAAGCGUGGGGGAGCAAACAGG